CGUCGGGGAUUAGUGGCGAACGGGUGAGUAACACGUGAGUAACCUGCCCUUAACUCUGGGAUAAGCCUUGGAAACGGGGUCUAAUACUGGAUAUUGACUUUUCCUCGCAUGGGGUUUGGUUGAAAGAUUUAUUAGGUUUUGGAUGGACUCGCGGCCUAUCAGCUUGUUGGUGAGGUAAUGGCUCACCAAGGCGACGACGGGUAGCCGGCCUGAGAGGGUGACCGGCCACACUGGGACUGAGACACGGCCCAGACUCCUACGGGAGGCAGCAGUGGGGAAUAUUGCACAAUGGGCGAAAGCCUGAUGCAGCGACGCCGCGUGAGGGAUGACGGCCUUCGGGUUGUAAACCUCUUUCAGUAGGGAACAAGGCCAGUGUUUAGCUGGUUGAGGGUACUUGCAGAAGAAGCGCCGGCUAACUACGUGCC
rnacentral:rRNA from 1 species